UUUGAUCCUGGCUCAGGAUGAACGCUGGCGGUAUGCCUUACACAUGCAAGUCGUACGAGAGUUUUUAACUCAAGUGGCGGACGGGUGAGUAACACGUAAGAAUUUGCCUUUAGGAGGGGGACAACAACUGGAAACGGUUGCUAAUACCCCAUAUGCUUCCGAGUGAAAUGGAUUUCCGCCUAGAGAGAAGCUUGCGGCUGAUUAGCUUGUUGGUGAGGUAAUGGCUUACCAAGGCGACGAUCAGUAUCUGGUUUGAGAGGACGAUCAGACACACUGGAACUGAGACACGGUCCAGACUCCUACGGGAGGCAGCAGUGGGGAAUUUUCCGCAAUGGGCGAAAGCCUGACGGAGCAAUACCGCGUGAGGGAUGACGGCCUAUGGGUUGUAAACCUCUUUUUUCAGGGAGGAAUCAAAUGACGUGUACCUGAAGAAUAAGCAUCGGCUAACUCCGUGCCAGCAGCCGCGGUAAGACGGAGGAUGCAAGUGUUAUCCGGAAUCACUGGGCGUAAAGCGUCUGUAGGUGGUCCAAUAAGUCAACUGUUAAAUCUUGAGGCUCAACCUCGAAAUCGCAGUCGAAACUAUUAGACUAGAGUAUAGUAGGGGUAAAGGGAAUUUCCAGUGGAGCGGUGAAAUGCGUAGAGAUUGGAAAGAACACCGAUGGCGAAGGCACUUUACUGGGCUAUUACUAACACUCAGAGACGAAAGCUAGGGUAGCAAAUGGGAUUAGAUACCCCAGUAGUCCUAGCCGUAAACAAUGGAUACUAGAUGUUGAACAGAUCGACCUGUGCAGUAUCAAAGCUAACGCGUUAAGUAUCCCGCCUGGGAAGUAUGCUCGCAAGAGUGAAACUCAAAGGAAUUGACGGGGCCCGCACAAGCGGUGGAGCAUGUGGUUUAAUUCGAUGC
rnacentral:rRNA from 1 species